GUGCCAGCCGCCGCGGUAAUACGUAGGGCGCAAGCGUUGUCCGGAAUUAUUGGGCGUAAAGGGCACGCAGGCGGUCUGCUAAGUUCGGGGUGAAAGUCACCAGCUUAACUGGUGAAGGACUUCGAAAACUGGCGGACUUGAGAGCGAGAGAGGGACAUGGAACUCCGGGUGGAGCGGUGAAAUGCGUAGAGACCCGGAAGAACACCAAAGGCGAAGGCAGUGUCCUGGCUCGUUUCUGACGCUCAGGCGCGAAAGCGUGGGGAGCAAACAGGAUUAGAUACCCUGGUAGUCC
rnacentral:rRNA from 1 species